AGUGAACGCUGGCGGUAGGCCUAACACAUGCAAGUCGAACGGCAGCACAGUAAGAGCUUGCUCUUACGGGUGGCGAGUGACGGACGGGUGAGGAAUACAUCGGAAUCUACUUUUUCGUGGGGGAUAACGUAGGGAAACUUACGCUAAUACCGCAUACGACCUACGGGUGAAAGCAGGGGAUCUUCGGACCUUGCGCGAUUGAAUGAGCCGAUGUCGGAUUAGCUAGUUGGCGGGGUAAAGGCCCACCAAGGCGACGAUCCGUAGCUGGUCUGAGAGGAUGAUCAGCCACACUGGAACUGAGACACGGUCCAGACUCCUACGGGAGGCAGCAGUGGGGAAUAUUGGACAAAGGGCGCAAGCCUGAUCCAGCCAUACCGCGUGGGUGAAGAAGGCCUUCGGGUUGUAAAGCCCUUUUGUUGGGAAAGAAAAGCAGCAGGUUAAUACCCCGCUGUUCUGACGGUACCCAAAGAAUAAGCGCCGGCUAACUUCGUG
rnacentral:rRNA from 1 species